CAUCAAGCUGAAUGUCUGAUCCUUGAGAGAAGUUUUUUCCGACCACUUCAUCACCGCAGGGACUUCUGCAAACCCUCUGCAGCUGCUUCACCCCUGCUGGUCCCUGCCCUGGACAGGGGAAGGGAGGACAUCCAUGGGAGCAGGGUUCCCUCCCAGCAGCUCCAUAGGCUCCUCCUCAAGUCUGACCAUGUCAGAAGUCCUUGGGAGAUCCCAAAAAAAAUGGGACUUUGGGAAUGUUUAGGGAUCAGUUCAUUAAUCCUGUCCUGGUCCUCACAUGAGGAUGGCCUUGAGAGGUCCAUUCCAACCUCAAUGACACUGGUUUUCUGAGUUUGUUAUCAGAGUAAGAGGAGAUGUUGGAUCCUUGAUCCCAGCUGCAUAUCCAUGAACCAAGAGAGAUAUGGAGGUACCAGGGAUCACAGAACCCUGUGAACACAGAAUCACUGAGGCUGGAAAUCCCUCCAAGGUCAUGGAGCCCAAGCUGUGCCCGAUCCCCCUUUGUCCCCAUCCCGGAGCUCUGAGUGCCACCUCCAGCCCUUCCUUGGACACCUGCAUGGGUGGGGACUCCAAACCUCCCUGGGCAGCCCCUGCCAAUGCCUGACCAGCCUUUCCAUGGAGAAAUUCCUCCUGAGGAUGCUUCAGGGAAGACCCAGGCACAAGACCAGCAACUUCAGGACAAAGCCCGAGGGUAAGGACAGCUUGGGUUAAGGCAGCCUCACCCACAAGCUGCAGCCACCUGUUGUGUGACACUGGGGACAACAGAACCCCAGAGCAGCUGCCCGAGGGCUCUCCCUGAACCUACAUCAUGGCUGGACAUAUCCCAAAAGGAUUUUUCCUGGGUCAGAUGGGAUCUGACAGGCCACACCCAGCUGGAUCCCAGGUUUACAGCAGAUCCCUGGGAUCUGCUGGCUCUGGCGUGGGCAGAGCCCUGGAGGUGCCCUGGUGUCUGAAGGCUCAGGGAAUAGGGAGCAAGAAAAGAGCCAGAGGAGCCAGGGGAUUUCUCAAAGUCUUUGUUGUAAUCUCAGACCUUGAUCGAGCCGCAGGUCAAGUCACAGAAAAGUGGCACAAACUGUGCAGGUCAAAAGCACCUUGGAUGGAGGGUUGGGGAUUCCAAGAAUCCCUUUGUCAAACCUCACAACAGCCCUGUGAGGUAGGAAACACCCCCGGCGGGGGACUGAGGCACAGAGAAAUGCAGUGGCUUGGCCAGGGCUUGGGACAAGCCAGUGGCACGGGCAGGAAUUCUCCUGCUCUUGUUCCCAGCUCGUGGCUCCUUCCCCUUGGAGUGUGACCCCAGGAUCGUCACCGCUGUUCCUUGUGCAAGCGGACAGGAGGUCAGGAGGCGCCUGAGAACUUGGAUCCUUCAUGGAAGUGUCCCAGCACCGCGUGGCCCAGCCCAGCCUGGGCACCAGGUUUCUGUCUCCCCGAGACGAUGCCCAGCGUGGAGCUGUGCUGGCAGCGGCUGGGGCUGCAGGCCUGGAGGAGAAGGAGGAGGAGGAGGAGGAGGUAGCUGCAAGGACAUCACGCUGUCACCAGCAUCUUCCAUCGGUGGGGAUGUUCACUUCCCCCAGUCACCCCAGCCCAGCCCGUGUGCAAUGUCCAGAGAACUGAAGCUGGGAGGGGAAUUGGCCAGGAAGCAGUGCCAAGAGCCGUGGUGGGAUCUCCAUCAUGGGAACCCCACCUCCAACCAACCCCUGGUCCAGCCGUGGUGCCAAUGUCCCCUCUCCACCCCACCGCUACAGUUUGUGUGCUGAAUACAAA